rnacentral:misc_RNA from 1 species
UUGUUUAUUCUUCUAGACUCAGACAACAUAUUUAAAAGGAGUUGGGAGGUCUUCUGGCAGGCUGCAGUCACCUGACAGGCACUGCCGAAGCAACAAGGUAGGUAUUCACAGGGUGGGAGAUGUGCGCCAACAGGCACUGUCUCUGUAAUGAUCCUUCCGCAGGUUCACCUACGGAAA